rnacentral:tRNA from 1 species
GUUCCCGUGGUGUAGUGGUUAUCACGAUGCGCCUCACACGCGCAAGGUCCCCGGUUCGAUCCAGGGCGGGAACA